UUCUGCUCAGAGCGAACGCUGGCGGCAUGCUUAACACAUGCAAGYYGCACGAAGGUUUCGGCCUUAGUGGCGGACGGGUGAGUAACGCGUAGGAAUCUAUCCAUGGGUGGGGGAUAACUCUGGGAAACUGGAGCUAAUACCGCAUGAUACCUGAGGGUCAAAGGCGCAAGUCGCCUGUGGAGGAGCCUGCGUUUGAUUAGCUUGUUGGUGGGGUAAUGGCCUACCAAGGCGAUGAUCAAUAGCUGGUCUGAGAGGAUGAUCAGCCACACUGGGACUGAGACACGGCCCAGACUCCUACGGGAGGCAGCAGUGGGGAAUAUUGGACAAUGGGGGCAACCCUGAUCCAGCAAUGCCGCGUGUGUGAAGAAGGUUUUCGGAUUGUAAAGCACUUUCGACGGGGACGAUGAUGACGGUACCCGUAGAAGAAGCCCCGGCUAACUUCGUGCCAGCAGCCGCGGUAAUACGAAGGGGGCUAGCGUUGCUCGGAAUGACUGGGCGUAAAGGGCGUGUAGGCGGUUUGUACAGUCAGAUGUGAAAUCCCCGGGCUUAACCUGGGAGCUGCAUUUGAUACGUGCAGACUAGAGUGUGAGAGAGGGUUGUGGAAUUCCCAGUGUAGAGGUGAAAUUCGUAGAUAUUGGGAAGAACACCGGUGGCGAAGGCGGCAACCUGGCUCAUAACUGACGCUGAGGCGCGAAAGCGUGGGGGAGCAAACAGGAUUAGAUACCCUGGUAGUCCACGCUGUAAACGAUGGUGUGCUAGAUGUUUGGGUAAACUUAGUUUAUUUCAGGUGUCGC
rnacentral:rRNA from 1 species